UACGUAGGCAGCGAGCGUUGUUCAGAAUUACUGGGCGUAAAGAGUGUGUAGGCGGUGCUCCCAGUCUGUUGUGAAAUCUCCCGGCUUAACUGGGAGGGUGCAGCGGAAACUAGAGUGCUAGAGGGUGGGAGAGGUAAGCGGAAUUCCUGGUGUAGCGGUGAAAUGCGUAGAUAUCAGGAGGAACACCUGUGGUGUAGACAGCUUACUGGACCACUUCUGACGCUGAGACACGAAAGCGUGGGUAGCAAACAGG
rnacentral:rRNA from 1 species